rnacentral:tRNA from 1 species
GCCGGAGUGAUGGAAUUGGUAGACGUGAAGGAUUCAAAAUCCUUUGCCCGCAAGGGCGUGCCGGUUCGAGUCCGGCCUCCGGUACCA